ACAAAAUCAAUUCAAACUUAGACCAUAAAAAAGGCAAAUCAUAAUUACGAGACAAAAAUAUGAGUAAAAAGUUGGUCAAAAAGUCUACUAUGGGAUAGAAAGUUGAAAAUGUGCAGAUGAGACAUGCUUAUGAUGUGAAAGUUAAAAUAAUCAUAAUAAAUGACUAUCAUCGAAUAGAGAGUUGUAUUAUGAGAUAGCAAGUCAUACUAAAGGCAUAAAAAGGGGUUCAUGGGUAAAUUAUGAUUUACAAAGCUCAGAAUUAUGAGAUAAAAGUAGUAAUCAUGAGAUACACUACUCAAAAUUAGUUAUCAAUAUUGGGAUUUUGUUGCAUAUAUGUGCAUGGACACGUCUUGUAAAAGUGCUUUACAUGGAAUAAUUAUGAGGUAAAAUGUCAUUAUUAAAAAUCAUGAGAUUUAAAGUUGAAAUAAGAGAGAAAGGGGCGGGAUGAUGAGAUUAAGUCAUGGGCCUGUUCGAGUGAGUAAAAAAAAAAAGUCAAAAUCGUUAGAUAAAUGUUGACUUCUACCUCUGAAUUAUGACUUACAUACCUCAUGACGACAUAUUUGUUUCCACUUUAACUGGCAGAGAUGGUCUCCCAUACCAUCAACCCUGCUGCAGACUGACACUACACACACACACACACACACACACACACACCACUGCAUUUCUCCAGUGGUGUCAUUAUGAGAAAUUUAGGUUAAGAAGAAGGUUGUGUGUCUUUAGAGAGGUUGGCUAUGAGAACACGACGUAAACCUCGGCGGUAAGUAUCAUCAAACCAGCAGCAGCAGCAGCAGCAGCAGCGCCACAGGGGAGGUCAUUAUCACCGCUACAGAACUGGUUUGACGGGGAGACACGCUGGAGGAAGUGUAGUCAUGCCAAUGCACUGAAACUUCCAUGCACGUCAGACUGUGUUUCUUUUGUUUAGGUGGACAAAUGUCGUAAAAAAAAAAGAGCGGAUUUGGGGCCACAACACGUCAAACAUUUAUAGACAUCUCGAUAACUUUAGCGCGUAACGCCACCGCAGUGUGGGCCUACACAUCCAGACUCUGUGCGCUGUUUGAUUGCGUUGGCUGAUACGAGCUGUUAGUCCACACGGACGUCCGCUGUUGUCAAAACAGAAUCGAGCCGAUAAAAAGUUGCUAUCUGAUGGGUGAAGCCGUCAAACGUGCGUUUUACGCACAGCGCCGCACAGGCGUGCUGCGCCUUCAGCACUCUCCACACGCGGCUCACCUGAGACUAAAAACCCUUCCUGUCAGUCACUUACCUGGCGCGGAGUGAGCCCGGGGUUUCUCUUCUCCCUCAGCUCUUCGAUCAGGUGUAUCUCAUCCGACCAGGGGAGCGUACCUGCAGGGAGUUGUCAUGUCACCUCACCGCUGACGCUCAUUGGUCUUCACUCAGCUGCUCGCGGGCUCCGAAAUGACUUCUCCCCUUCAUUUACAAACCAGCAAGACAAGUGGAUGCACUUUCGUAGAGCAAGUGCCCAGGCGAGUGUGAUGCUCAGGUUAUUUUUAGCAACGACGUGAUAUUUUUAAAAGAACAACAGCUCACUGUUAAUUUUAUUACAUUGCAAUUCUAAAUGAAGCUCUCAAGUUUUAAGAAAAAUAUUUUUUUAAUGCCUAACAAACAAACUAAACUGUCAUUGUUUCCAUGAUUGAAUAAACAAACUGACCUUAGAGGACAACACAAUUUCAUACGGUUUCACUUUGUUUACACGUGGCGGACCCCGCCACCUUUCUAGCUUCAAACAGCGUUCUCGGGACCUUAUUGUCCUCUGAGAACAGCUUGUUUGUUCAGUUCUGGGAAAAAUAUAACUACCUCUGAGUUUGUAUCAUUACCUCAUGAGUUUGAAUGUUUUCAUAUAGUUCCCCUCACAAUCACAAUGACUGUUCUGCACAAAGCAUCCUCAGGGCAGGGUGCUGGAGAGUAUGAGUGAUAUGCAGAGAGACCAGUUCUGCAGGUCAUCAGAAACCAUGAGGUCACAGCCGAACACACAAAACAAGACGCGGCCCUUUUUUUUUUUUUUUCCUUCCCCCAUGUUUUAAUUCUUUGGGAGUAACAUGAUGAAAAGUGUUGGACAGCAGAGCGUCACCGACUCUUACACAUUCACACAGCAAAGUACACGACACUGCACGGCGUGAAACACAACCAUAAAAACAAAAACAAAAACAAAAAAAAAGAAAGAACAACAAAGCCUUCACGUCAAAAAUGCUGGCAAUAAAUAGACUGAUCUUAUUAAAUUUAUAUUCAAUACUCUUCUGUACAGAUGGUUCAUGAAUUACAAUACAUCAACCGAACAAUUCUCUUGAGGAAGAGCAACACGGUUACGCACACAGGAGAAAAAAAAAUCAUGUAAACAGAGAGAGAGAGGAAGAAAACGGCGCAGAGAUACUUCUGUCACACACACGGUAAACCCACACACGCAUGCACGAUCAGCGACCAUGCAGAGGAUCCAGAGUACGCCGACAAGAGGCAACACAUGAUAAUGAAUACAGUACAUCUUUCUCUUUUCCCUCCACAUGAAAAGGCGCGCACACACACACUCACA